AAAGUUACAGGGGGUGGAUCUGGGCUUACCAUCCACACUGCCGUCCAGCCCCAAGAAUUGUUCAAACUGCCUUAAUAUUUUGCUCUCAGAUAUCUCAAGAUUUUGCCUUUGAGGUACUCUGUACUGGAAUAUGGAGCAGGAGGAGCUGAUGGGAGUGGGAGCUAUGAAUGAGCGAGGCUUUGACUUAACUGCAGAAGAGAAGGGGGCCUUGUGGCAGGAACCGAGCACUAUAGAGAAGCAGCGCCACCUUGUGGCUAGUUGAGAGGCUGCAGCAGAAUGAGCAAAGAGUCCUAGAAAGAAGCUAUGGCCCCCGGGAUCCAGCCACAACAAACACAACAAAUAGGAACCAGAAGUCAGUCUAUAUGAACAGGUUAUAUCUUGUGUUAAAUAACAGUAUAAAUUGUUGCCAGGAAUGGAAGGACCAGCCACAUCAUAAACAUGACAUUGUUCCAGUCCCUAAGACUCCACAUUUGCAAUCGGAGAUGGGUUCACACUUUGGAAUCUGA
rnacentral:lncRNA from 1 species